UUAUUUUUGCAGGUAGCUAUCCUCCCGCUUCAGCCAAUCCUGCAGGUACAAACUAUCCAGGUAACAAGCCUCCCGCUUCAGCCAAUCCUGCAGGUCCAAACUAUUCAGGUACCAAGCCUCCCGCUUCAGCCAAUCCUGCAGGUCCAACCUAUCCAGGUA